UUUCCGUAGGUGAACCUGCGGAAGGAUCAUUGUCGAAGCCUGCCCAGCAGAACGACCCGCGAACUUGUAUAAACAACCGGGGGCAGGGGCGAUCUCGCCCCGUGCCCUCGAACGGCAGGGAGACACUCGUGCCUUCUUGUCGAACAACGAACCCCGGCGCGGUCUGCGCCAAGGAACUUCAAUUAAAGAGUGCCUCCGGUCGCCUCGGAAACGAUGCGCGUGUCGGAGGCGAAUCUUGUACAAAACCAUAACGACUCUCGGCAACGGAUAUCUCGGCUCUCGCAUCGAUGAAAAACGCAGC
rnacentral:misc_RNA from 1 species